GACGAACGCUGGCGGCGUGCUUAACACAUGCAAGUCGAACGGAAAGGCCCUUCUUUUUUCGCGUGCUCGAGUGGCGUACGUGUCACUUACAUGUCCUUCCCCUGCCCUUGACUUUGGCCUCACUUCCGGAAACUAGUGCUAAUUCCGGCUCGGCUCUCCUGCUGCUUUGUGUGGGUUGGUUUGUUUCGGCGGUUGGGGAUGGACUCGCGGCUUAUCAGCUUGUUGGUGGGGUAUUGGCAUACCAAGGCGUUGACGGGUAGUCGGCCUGAGAGGGGGACCGGCCACAAUGGGACUGAGAAACGGCCCAGACUCCUACGGGAGGCAGCAGUGGGGAAUAUUGCACAAUGGGCGGAAGCCUGAUGCAGAAACGCAGCGUGCGGGAUGACGGCCUUCGGGUUGUAAACCGCUUUCGGCAGGGACGAAGCGUGAGUGACGGUAAUGGGAGAAGAAGCACCGGCUAACUACGUG
rnacentral:rRNA from 1 species